rnacentral:rRNA from 1 species
AACGAACGCUGGCGGCAUGCCUAACACAUGCAAGUCGAACGAGACCUUCGGGUCUAGUGGCGCACGGUUUCGUAACGCGUGGGAACCUGCCCUUAGGUUCGGAAUAACUCCCCGAAAGGGGUGCUAAUACCGGAUAAUGUCUUCGGACCAAAGAUUUAUCGCCUUUGGAGGUGCCCGCGUUGGAUUAGCUAGUUGGUAGGGUAAAAGCCUACCAAGGCGACGAUCCAUAGCUUGUCUGAGAGGCGGAUCAGCCACACUGGGACUGAGACACGGCCCAGACUCCUACGCGAGGCAGCAGUGCGGAAUAUUGGACCAUGGGCGAAAGCCUGAUCCAGCACUGCCGCGUGAGUGAUGAAGGCCUUAGGGUUGUAAAGCUCUUUUAACCGGGAUGAUAAUGACAGUACCGGGAGAAUAAGCCCCGGCUAACUCCGUG